GACAGUGUUGAAGCUUCAGCAGAUGCACUCGUUUACAUAGAACUUGUGGUUUCAACAACCAUUUGAAGUUACAAAAGUUUUCCUUUAUUUCAGAUUGUACAUUGUUAAGCCUUGUAAUAGAAUAUUAUUCAGUUAGAAAAAUUCAUGAAACCGUGUCGAUUAAUUCUAGAAAACUGUUUUUUAAUAGUACUAAACAGUACCAUAGAGGAUGGUAAUAUUACAUGAGUAUAUACUUGUGCUCCGACAAAUAUUCAUAGCCCAAUAUGCUUCCCUAUAUGUUCUUGAGAUAACAUUUUUCAAAUAUACUUGUACAUAUUUAUAGGCAUAUAAUACCACCAAAUAUGGUAACAGAUAUAGAGGAUGUGUUUGUUGAGGUGUUCUUUUAUGGUGUCACCAGUCAAAUAUUUGAUUGCUAUUUACUCUUCAGGCAGACUGAUAUAUUUUCCCCGCUUUACCUCAAUGCUUACCAUUCUUCCAUAAAGUUAUGUAGAUCUUAUCAUCACGCACUAAAACUAUCUGCAUUGUGACAUAGCCAAUUCCAGAUGAUCCAACAGUGAGCAGCAUCUGCACAAGAAGAAUCAAUCAACCUGCACGGUGAGUUGGUUAAUUGUAAUUAACCUGAAUGCUAACAAUUUUUUUCUGCAUCAUUCCACAAAGAUAUAAUGUAAUAACUAAAAGCAAUUAAAUUUCAAUUGUUCUUUUCUUAUCACCUAUAGUUGUGUUUAACCAAGAAAGCACAACUAAAGCGUUUAUGCCCUAAAGCAAUCUGAUAUUAUAAUCCAACAAGACAAGUUACAAUAACACUAUUUAACCAAAAUUUCACUCACAUUUGAAACCCACCUAGUUAAAUGAUUUUUACAUGGACAAGAGCAUGUGGAUGUGGUAGCUCCAAGAAAACAAACCUAGGGAUUGCUUACACUGUUUUAUGGUUUAAGGUCUACGGGUUUCCUACAGAUUUAAGUCUCUAAUGUCCAUCCGUUCACAUGAAUCACAAAAACUCAUUUGGCACGCAUAAACCUUACAUUGGUUCAAAUGAAAAAAAUUGACUUUUUUAUACAUAGAGAGAGAGAGAGAGAGAGUCUAGUUUUUAAUGGAAAUAUCAACUAAAAUUUAAGCAUUCCAAGAUAAUCUAGCCCGGGACGGACAAACGAAGAUUAAAAAAAAAGAAGAUUAGUUUUCACCACACAUUUCCUUAGAAGAACCCACAAACGACAGGGAAAGCAGGAAAGGUGCAUUAAUCAUAGCAUUCAUAAAUAUAAUCAAAUUUGAAUAUAUAUAUAUAUAUAUAUAUAUAUAUAUAUACGAGACAAGAUAAUGGAAAAACGCAUACCAAAGAUUAAGAAGUCUGAUUCUGGUAGAUGCAAUUUUGUGCACGUUUCCGUGCUUACCAACUAGGCAACUAGAAGAAUGGAUAAAGUGAACUCUUCUUUCUUUCUUUCUUUCUUCAUGUAUGUCAAAUUAUAGGUCACAAUUGAUCAAAUUCAUUACUGAGACUUAAAAUUAAUUUGUCUGAUCUUGAUUCCCGUGUACGGUGUACCUAUAUCCUAUCCAUUCCCUCUGUCCUUUUAUUUCGACUUUCUUUACCCGGAUUU
rnacentral:lncRNA from 1 species